rnacentral:rRNA from 1 species
CUCGGAAGGAUCAUAAUGAAUCAUUCUUCUCUGACUAUUGUUCUUGAGCCUAACAAGGCAAUUUGUUUUACAAUGCCAUUUGACACAUCUUCAACGAUGGAUCUCUUGGCUCCCACCUCGAUGAAGAACGCAGCGAAAUGCGAUACGCAGUGCGAAUUGCAGAACCGCGAGUCAUCAGAUCUUCGAACGCAUCGGCGCCAAGAUAUCUUGGCAUGUUUAAUUCAGCGUGUCUAGUCAUCAAAAAUUUAUGUGAUUGAGGAAUCUUUCACUGAGAAUGUAGAAUCGUUGAUAAUUCCGAAUGGUCACGAAAGUGAUGGAAUUAUCAAAAACGAUGUUAUAAAAAGCACCUGAAUUAAGCAAGAUUACCCGCUGAACUUAAGCAUAUCAGUAAGCGGAGGAAAAGAAACUAACAAGGAUUGUCUCAGUAGCGGCGAGUGAAGAGACAUCAGCCCAAGAUGAGAAUCUGCGGUGUGAAACCGUGGAGUUGUAAUCUCGACAGUCAUUCGUGUUCGGACUCCCUGGCUAACUUGCUUGGAAGAGUAGGCCAUAGAAGGUGAGAGCCCUGUAGGCUAGGGAAGAGGAGUAAACGAAUGUUUGGAAGAGUCGGGUUGUUUGGGAAUGCAGCCCUAAGUGGGAGAUAGACAUCUUCUAAGGCUAAAUACCGGUGGGAGACCGAUAGCGCACAAGUACUGCGAAGGAAAGAUGAAAAGAACUUUGAAAAGAGAGUUAAAAGAUGUGAAAUCGUUGAAGCGGAACUGAUCGCAGCCCGUCCAUGCCUUAGUCUCGUAUGAUGCAACAAGUCCACCUGCGCUCAAACGCAGAGACCAAAUGCAAAAAUACUGCUGAGGACAAUCACAGAAUCAACUUUGUAUUAGAGAGAAAACGUCCAGAUGAGUUUUUCGCGGGAAUGUAAUCUAAUAUGGAGUGAGGAUGAUUCUGUGAAAGCGACUGUGAUCGACCCG